AACGAACGCUGGCGGCAGGCUUAACACAUGCAAGUCGAACGCCCCGCAAGGGGAGUGGCAGACGGGUGAGUAACGCGUGGGAACCUACCCAAAGGUACGGAACAACCAAGGGAAACUUUGGCUAAUACCGUAUACGCCCCAAGGGGGAAAGAUUUAUCGCCUUGGGACGGGCCCGCGUUGGAUUAGGUUGUUGGUGGGGUAACGGCCUACCAAGGCGCCGAGCCAUAGAUGGUCUGAGAGGAUGAUCAGCUACACUGGGACUUAGACACGGCCCAGACUCCUCCGGGAGGCAGCCGUGGUGAAUCUUGGACAAUGGGCGAAAGCCUGAUCCGGCCAUGCCGCGUGAGUGAAGAAGGCCUUAGUGUUGUAAAGCUCUUUCACCGAUGAAGAUAAUGACGGUAGUCGAAGAAGAAGCCCCGGCUAACUUCGUGCCAGCCGCCGCCGUAACAC
rnacentral:rRNA from 1 species